rnacentral:rRNA from 1 species
UACAGAGGUCCCAAGCGUUGUUCGGAUUCACUGGGCGUAAAGGGUGCGUAGGUGGUGAGGUAAGUCGGAUGUGAAAUCUCCGAGCUCAACUCGGAAAUGGCAUUGGAAACUACCUUGCUAGAGGAUUGGAGGGGAGACUGGAAUGCUUGGUGUAGCAGUGAAAUGCGUAGAUAUCAAGCGGAACACCAGUGGCGAAGGCGAGUCUCUGGACAAUUCCUGACACUGAGGCACGAAAGCCAGGGGAGCAAACGGG